UUCCGACCUGUUUUCAGGACGGUCACCCCGACAGGCUGCAGUCCGGGCUGGAGGUGGGAGGACGCCUCUUCCUGCUGGACCUGGAGAAGAACCAUGACCUGCUGCCCAAACCGCCCAACGUCUUCUACUACCUGCCCAACGGCACCGGGGUGUCCGUGAGAGCCGACCCUGUGACUCACUGUUAUUACCACGGCAGCGUCCGAGGCUUCCCCCAGUCCAGAGUGGCGCUGAGCACCUGCUCCGGACUCCGGUCAGUACCAGAAUUAGGCUGAAUUUUAUUCUGACUUCUUCUACGACAAAAUCAAACACUGGCCUGUUUCAGGGGAAGAAGAAGAAGCCAGAUCAAUCAUCAGGUCACAAAAUAAAAUAUCAGACACACUUA